ensembl:lincRNA
AGAAGAGAUGUAUUGCAGGGUGGCUGGCAAGGAACAGGGACCCCAUAGCUUCGCACUCUCUCAAGGUGGAUCCCCUGCUGGGCCAGGCUCUGGAGGACCCCUCCUACCUUGGCAGUGUUAGUCAUUUCUGGCCCCCACAUCGAAAUCCUUGUUGUACCAGCCGGGUCAUAAACACAAUCCUGACUGGGUGUGAGGGAGGGUCCUGGGAGCAUCGGAGGGGAGACCUUCUGGCUCAGCGCUGAAGCGGGUCUCUGGCCCUGGCCUUGGGCUGGUGUUCUCUGGGUAUAAGGGGGUGGCUCAUUCAGGAGGGGGUCCUCCAAGUUGCCUGAGAGGAGGGGCAGUAUCUUGGGGGUCCAUUUAUUUGAGCAGGUCACAAUGGGAAAAGGGGCUCCCUUCACCAAGGACAGGAGGCAAAUAACUAGCUGCACCCACGAAUCCACAGAGGGAAAUGGAUCUGGAUGUCUGGGAUUCCCUGCCACAACGUGCCAGACUUUCUGGACUGGAGCCUUUUUCAGUGAGCCCUGGGUAGACAACUCAACCUGGAAGGAUGGCCUCUCCCCUGUGCAGAGUCCAGAGUGCCCCAGGAAGCAACCUCUCAUUGGUGAGCUGCGUCAGGCCAGGUUACUGAAGCAGAACAGCGGCGAGGAAACCAGGAACUUCUGGCGGGACUUUCCAGGGCCGCUGUGCCCUUUUGCAGAGGUCACGGGUUGCUAGGUAAAGGUAACCUGAGGUGGUGUUGGUCUCCUCCUUCACUGGCACGGCACUAUGCUCCUGAUCCACGGUAUGUUUUUGUCUAAUAUAAGCAUUGAAAGCUGAAGAUUUCCCUCUAAGCACUAGUUAGGUGUAGCCCAUACAUUUUGAUGUGUUGUGUUUCUAAUUCUAUUGUGUUCAAUAUAUUUUCUGAUUCCUUCUCUGUUUUCUCUUUUGAUCUCUAAGCUAUUUUUUUUUUUUUUAAUUUGUUACUGGGGAUCGAACUCAUGACCUUGCGCUUGCCAGGCAGGUGCUUAUGCCAUUGAGCUAUAUCCCCAGCCCUGAUCUCUAAGCUAUUUACAAGUGUGUUCAGUUUCCAAAUAUUUGGGGGUUUUCCAUGUAUCUUGCUGUUGAUUUCUAAUUUAAUUCCAUUGUGGUCAGAUAACAUAGUCUUUAGUUGUUUGUCAUUUAUUUAGUUUUAUGUUCCCACAUAUGGGAUGUAUUGGCUAACAUCUUUUAUGUACACUUGGAAACAAUGUGGUUUUUGUGUGGGGUAUCCUAUAGAUGUCAUUUAGGUCAAAUAAGUUGAUAUAUUGGUCAAGUCUUCUCUAUUUUUCUUGAUUUUUUUGAGGAAGGGUCUCACUAUGUAGUCCAGGCUGGCCUUGAGCUCACUAUGUAUCCCAGGCUGGCUUUGACCUUGCAGUGAUCGUCCUGCCUCAGCCUUCCAAGUGCUAGGAUUAUAGGUAUGUGCCACCACACCCAGUUAAAUUUUUUUUAUAAAUAAAAAAAAGUUUUAUUUUGUAUUUUUCUUGGUCUUUUUGAGACAGGGUCUCGCUAUGCAGUUCAGGUUGGCCUUGAGUUCACUUUGUAGCCCAGGUUGGUCUCGAACUCACAGUGAUCCUCCUGCCUCAGCCUCCCAAGUGCUGGGAUUACAGGCAUGCACCACCAUACCUGGCUAAAAUUAACCGUUUCAUAGUUAUGAAGUUUACUUUUGGUAACAUUCUUUAUUCUGAGGUUUACUUGGUCUGCCUGUAAUAUACCACCUUAGAUUUCUUAUACUUUUUGCUUGUGUGGUGUAUGUCAUGUACUUGAGGUGGGGCUUUUAGAAGGUGAAGGGGUCCUGAGGCACUGUACUCACAGUGGAUUAAUCCAUGGUUGAAUUCAUAGCUGUGCUGUUAGGAGGCGGACCUGGCUAGAGUCCCUGGAGCCGUGAAUUGAGAGGGUGUGCUCUUGUCCCUGGCUCCUCCCCUUUCUCUCUCUGUCUCCUGGCUGUCAGGAGUUGAGCAGUUUUGUUCCACCACGUCCUUCAGCCGUUCCAUUUCCUUCUUGGAGCCAGUAGAUCGUGUACUGAAUGCCCCCAACCAUGAGCCAUGAACCAAAUAAAAUCUCUGCCCCUUUAAAUUGUGUCCAGUAUUUUGUCACAGUGAUAGGAAAGCUAAUACAGAAAACUGGUACCAGGAGUGGAGUCAAAGCUCUGACAGGAGCCUUUGGAACUGAUCUGUGGGAGGAGUUUGGAAAGGUUUGGAGGUGCAGGCUGAAGAAGUCCUAGAGUGCUGUAGUUAGGGCUUGGUGGGGGACUCUGAUUGGAGUGCAGAAGAUCGCAGUGCUGUAGGAUGCAGACAGUAGAGGUCAGGCCUAAGAGGUUUCAGUUAGCAAUUAGAACACCUUUGGCAUAGGGGCCACGUGUUACACUUUGGCGGAAAAUUUGUCUUCAUUUUCCCGUGUCCUGAGACCGUUGUGACAAAACUGAGUCCAGGAAAGGAACGAUACCCGAAGAAGUCAGGAGGCAGUGAGCAGCUUUAUUUUAUACCGCUGGUCCUGGCUGGAAUAACUUCCAACAAAAGCCAGGCAGCAAGUGUCUGUGAGCCAGCAUUUUUAUAUGAGGCAUAAGCAGGGGUUACAAAAGCAGGACAGGACAGCCUAGCAGCUCUUCUGCUUAGCUAGCAGGGUGAGAACAUCACUUACAGGGCUAGAUUAAUGACCAUCAGUUACAAGACUGGAUUAAUGACCACAAAGCUUGGUACAAUCAAGUAUCCUGAAUGUUCAGUUAUGCUCUCAUGAUUACAGGGGUCAAGGAAGCAAUUACAGAGCCAUGAAACAGUUACAGAACUAGGCACCUUCAAAGAGAAUAACAGUUUAAGAAGAGCAAUUUUUCCUUGUGCAGUUUUUCUCUUUCAAGACUGUGCGGAAGACUGAGGUUAAGGGCAGAGGACCAGUUAAUCUGGUGGAGGAAGUUUCAAUGCAGCCCAGAGUUCAGGCUGUAGCCUGGGUGCUGCUAGCUGCUUUUAGCAAAAUCGGAAGAAAAAGCAGAGCCAAAUAAUUUGAAAAGUUAUGGUUCCCCUAGAAAGAAAGCACCUACAAAGUUAGGGCCCAGGGAAACAUAGCUGCUGAAAAGAUCAGCAUCAAAAAAGAAGCCAAGUGUUGAGCAUGGUGAGGUCUUUCAGAGCUGGUGAAUCAGCCAUGGGUAGGUUAAGGUAAUAAAUGCAGUUUUUGACUUAGCAUAUUUUCAGUUCAUAAUGGGUUUAUUAAGAUGUAACACUCCCAGCACUCAGGAGGCUGAGGCAGGAGGAUUGCCACAAGUUCAAGGCCAGCCCGGGCUACAUAGUGAGUUCAAAUCCAGUCUGAACUAUGUAGUGAGACCCAGUCUCAAAAAAAAAAAA